rnacentral:rRNA from 1 species
UCGAGGGGCAGCAUAAAUUACUUGUAAUUUGAUGGCGACCGGCGAACGGGUGCGUAACGCGUAUGCAACUUACCUUUUACUAGAGAAUAGCCAAGAGAAAUUUUGAUUAAUGCUCUAUGUUCUUAUUUACUCGCAUGAGUAAAUAAGCAAAGCUCCGGCGGUAAAAGAUGGGCAUGCGUCCUAUUAGCUUGUAGGUGAGGUAAUGGCUCACCUAAGCUCCGAUAGGUAGGGGUCCUGAGAGGGAGAUCCCCCACACUGGUACUGAGACACGGACCAGACUUCUACGGAAGGCAGCAGUAAGGAAUAUUGGACAAUGGAGGCAACUCUGAUCCAGCCAUGCCGCGUGAAGGAAGACGGCCUUAUGGGUUGUAAACUUCUUUUAUACAGGAAGAAACCUUUCCACGUGUGGAAAGUUG